rnacentral:tRNA from 1 species
GCCCGGGUGGCGAAACUGGAAGACGCAUAUCCUUGAGGUGGAUACGGCCGCAAGGCCUUGGAGGUUCGAGUCCUCUCCCGGGCACCA